CUACCCCAGCGCUUAGAACAGUGCUCGGCACAUAGUAAGCACUUAACAAAUACAAACAUUAACAUUAGAUUGCUGGCUCACACUGUCCAAGAGCACCGACUUUCUGCACGUAAGUAACUGUCUAUUUUACUCUUAAAACUUGGAAGGAGAUGGUUCACUAGCAGUGCACAGUCUUUUUUUUUCUUUUCUGUGUUUUUUUCCCUCAACUUCUUUGUCACAGCCAUAAUUAGUCAUGCAAGAUUCCUCGGGGUUGACUAAUUACUGAUGUUGUGUCAAAUAUUGGGAGGAUUGAGUGGCCCACCAUGCCAGGAAGGCUAUUAGCAGAGUGUUGAGAGACUUCUCCUCUCCUCGAAAUAUCUAUGUGUUUUCUCUGCUGUGACCUCUCCCCACUAAAUUAGGGGUGAAAUCACUUUUCAACAAGGCACACUCUGGAGAAGCAGGCAGAGGUAGGGGAAACUGAUAUGGGCGGAUAAAGCAUGGAUCAUCCCAAAACGACUGGGAUCAAAGCUGGUCCUUAGGGAGCAGGCCGUGAAAGCAGUUUAGGCUUCCUGCAUGAUCCUUUCUGAAUUCUAUCCAAGAGGCAAUGUUGUCCCGGUCACGUUGACAUGCACGGAAAUAGUUUGAACUGCAGAGGGAUGCCCUUGAUUUGUGGAAAUGAUUUGAACAGUCCCGGAUUGCUAAAAAGGAGUGAACGCUCCUUUCUUCCAUCCACCGAGGAGUUAGAAAAAGAGAAAAUGAGAGCGAGAUUAUGGCCAGGCUAAUUUGGUUUAUGACAAAUACUUAGCAUCAUUCUCACUCAGAAUCGUCAGGAGAAGAAACUGAGAUAUUUUAUUUAGAGUCUUUAUAGCGGUUCUUCACAAAAGUGAGAAACAAGCGUUAUAAGGGUAGAAGUAAUUUAGAGAAAAAAAAUAUACCCUUAUAAUGUAUUUUACUUUAGUGUGCACAGCAGGGGUUAUAAUGGGGAGAGCCUUAACCAGUAAACCAGUGGUAUUUAUUGAGCGUCUAAUAUGUGUGUGGAACACUGCCCUAAGCAUUUGGGAGAGGACAGUAUGAAAGCAUGGGGAGCGCAAGGAGGCAAACACCCACCGUUCUCUGUCCUAAAUAAAUCCCCUCUUGAUUGGGCCGUCCCAGGAUCUCUGGAUUUUGUGAGAUUGUUCAAAAUCUUCUGCUGUGGCUCACCCUUUAGAGGAAAACAGUUGUCUCUGGGUUUGUCCCAUGUGGAAGAUAGAUUAGAAGGGGCUUACGUCCCUGGUGCAGAAAAGCUAUUAACACUAAUAAUGUGUAAUUGCAUAUGAGAAAAAAAAGACUACCUAACUCCUGUUUCUAACAUUUACUCUCCUCGAUCUUCACCCUAAUGGCGACCCAUCUAUUAUCCCUAGCUUUUCCCUUUCCCUCCCCACCCUUCCCAAUGGGAAAAAUCACUCUUCCAAACCUUCCCUUUCACAUGCUGAUAUUUAGGACCUGCCUGCUGAAAUUUGGAUUUGCUCAUUUCAAGAGAAUCGGAGACAGAUCCAGAGACAGAGAAAACCAGAGAGAAAGGGGAAAACUGCAGCUCCAGAAUCGGGAUUGACUCGCACAGGCUCGACUCCACAUUUGUCAUCAGCAGUGGGAUUGCUUUCAUCUGCUCUUGGAAACAAACUGAGCCUAAGACAAAACCGUUUACAUUCCCUAUCAGCAAAGACGCCCCGCUUCUCUGAAGCUGAACGGUAAGAAAGUUUCUGCUGGAUGUAUUUGUAGGGCCCCAUAAUUUCCUCCAUAAAUCAGGGGUCCCUGAGGAGCCAGCGGAGAAGGGGUUUGGAAAGAAGUGAAGGGGGAGAUUGAGUCCUCAAGAGUGCUCUCCCCUGGCAUUGGCCAAAGUUAUCUUCUGUUCCGAAAGCUUCUUGCUCCUAGAAUCGGUUAAUCGAGGCUGCUGCUUGGAGCUUUUCUUCUACAGGAGAGUCGCAGCAGUGUGGCCACUGGCCUGAUUUUUCCAAAUUAGGAGCAGGGCAAAAGCUAAUAAGCAUAAAACACAAGCAAAUAACCCAACGUUUCCCCACUCCCCAAACGGAAGAUAUCAGAGGCCAUUACUUUCCCUUUCAGGUAGGAGGAGGAGA